rnacentral:rRNA from 1 species
AUUGAACGCUGGCGGCAGGCCUAACACAUGCAAGUCGAACGAGUGGCGGACGGGUGAGUAAUGUCUGGGAAACUGCCCGAUGGAGGGGGAUAACUACUGGAAACGGUAGCUAAUACCGCAUACCAUCGGAUGUGCCCAGAUGGGAUUAGCUAGUAGGUGGGGUAACGGCUCACCUAGGCGACGAUCCCUAGCUGGUCUGAGAGGAUGACCAGCCACACUGGAACUGAGACACGGUCCAGACUCCUACGGGAGGCAGCAGUGGGGAAUUUUGGACAAUGGGGGAAACCCUGAUCCAGCCAUGCCGCGUGUGUGAUGAAGGCCUUCGGGUUGUAAAGCACUUUUGGCAGGAAAGCGGUACCUGCAGAAUAAGCACCGGCUAACUACGUGCCAGCAGCCGCGGUAAUUC